GUUUUGAUAAAUCUCCCUCAAAGUGUAUUUUGACGGAUUCAAGAAACCAUUUAAAGAAAUCUAGGAAAGAAAAAGCUACCCAUUAUGAAGUGGACCCAUCACUUUUUGCAACGGAGGAUGUGAUACAUUAUGUACAAGAAAGACCAUCCCUAUGGGAUAAAUCACACAAUAUCAUACACAAAAACAUAAAGAUUCUAACCUAUGGCUUCCUGUAGUUUUUCAUCAACAACUUUGAAUACUGGAGCUCCAACAACAUCUCCUCCACCUGAAGAAAUAGACCCAGAGGAGGAGCCACACACUGUUGAAGGAGGAACCACAACCAAGCAAUGAUAACAAGUGGUCUGCGCUCCAUCAUCAGCCAUCCACAUUCAUCCAAAAAAUCUAAUGUGUCACAAAUGUUUAAAUGUUUCCUAGAUGCAAUUGAAAAAUUAGAAGACAUGUGCACUACAACAUUUUUACAUAUGGAUGUGAGAGUAAUGCGAUUGUGGGUAUUGCAGAUGGCUCCAUAUUUAAAAUGAAAUUGUGAAGGACCACACACGCUUGAAAGACUCUGUCCACAGAUUCAGGCUUGACUUGUAUGCUGGUUGUUAGAACACACAAUUCGUUAGUUAGAAUACCAAAGGAACACUACACAUAUUGGCAUACACAGGUCAAGCGGUAAUUGAAGACGCUGUGGAUUCCGCCUUCUCCCCGAGUAUGGCUCAUCAGCCACAAUUAUAUGGGGCAGUGCAGGUCCAUCUGUACCAGGUAGUGGUUUUGUGUCAGGGAUCUGGAAGGUGCCAGCAUACAGAGCCUUACCAAAAUUAGAUUCCUUAAAAACUCGGGCAUCAUUAUUUUGACCAUAGGCCCCAAUUUCAACUGCCAGAAACUUGUAACUGGCAUCACAAAUUGCCAAGAGGAUUAUGGAAAAGUAUUUUUUAUAGUUGUAAAAUUGGGAUCCACUUCCUGAUGGCUUCCUGAUCCUCACGUUUGCCAUCAAGGGCCCCAAUACAAUUAGGGAAAUUUGCAUGCCUCCAAAAACCCUCGGCAGCAGAAUUCACAUAGCGGUGGUAGGUGGAGGAAGAUAAUGGGACUGAAGGUUCCUCCAUAAAGCCUCACAUGUUUCCGAAACCAACGUAGAUAUGGUGGAUUACACCAUUCGGAACUGGUAAUGGAGAGAUGGGAAUAUCUCUCCACUGGCCAGAAACCUAAGAGCAAAUAUAGAAAAAAAAAACACACACACACAAUUGAUAAAGGCAUAAUGAAAAUUAAAAAUGAAUAAAAUAAAAACAAAUCUAAAGAAUUAGCAAUCACUGCCACCCCAACAUGUUUGUACAACUGAUAGCUUCACUAUAUAUCAAUCUGAAAAGAUAGUUGUGUCUCUGGUUGGA